AGAGUUUGAUCCUGGCUCAGAACCUUUGCUGGCGGCGUGGAUAAGACAUGCAAGUCGAACGAGAGAAUUGCUAGCUUGCUAAUAAUUCUCUAGUGGCGCACGGGUGAGUAACACGUGAGUAACCUGCCCCCGAGAGCGGGAUAGCCCUGGGAAACUGGGAUUAAUACCGCAUAGUAUCGAAAGAUUAAAGCAGCAAUGCGCUUGGGGAUGGGCUCGCGGCCUAUUAGUUAGUUGGUGAGGUAACGGCUCACCAAGGCGAUGACGGGUAGCCGGUCUGAGAGGAUGUCCGGCCACACUGGAACUGAGACACGGUCCAGACACCUACGGGUGGCAGCAGUCGAGAAUCAUUCACAAUGGGGGAAACCCUGAUGGUGUGACGCCGCGUGGGGGAAUGAAGGUCUUCGGAUUGUAAACCCCUGUCAUGUGGGAGCAAAUUAAAAAGAUAGUACCACAAGAGGAAGAGACGGCUAACUCUGUGCCAGCAGCCGCGGUAAUACAGAGGUCUCAAGCGUUGUUCGGAAUCACUGGGCGUAAAGCGUGCGUAGGCUGUUUCGUAAGUCGUGUGUGAAAGGCGCGGGCUCAACCCGCGGACGGCACAUGAUACUGCGAGACUAGAGUAAUGGAGGGGGAACCGGAAUUCUCGGUGUAGCAGUGAAAUGCGUAGAUAUCGAGAGGAACACUCGUGGCGAAGGCGGGUUCCUGGACAUUAACUGACGCUGAGGCACGAAGGCCAGGGGAGCGAAAGGGAUUAGAUACCCCUGUAGUCCUGGCAGUAAACGGUGCACGCUUGGUGUGCGGGGAAUCGACCCCCUGCGUGCCGGAGCUAACGCGUUAAGCGUGCCGCCUGGGGAGUACGGUCGCAAGAUUAAAACUCAAAGAAAUUGACGGGGACCCGCACAAGCGGUGGAGUAUGUGGCUUAAUUCGAUGCAACGCGAAGAACCUUACCUGGGCUUGACAUGUAAUGAACAACAUGUGAAAGCAUGCGACUCUUCGGAGGCGUUACACAGGUGCUGCAUGGCCGUCGUCAGCUCGUGUCGUGAGAUGUUUGGUUAAGUCCAGCAACGAGCGCAACCCCUGUUGCCAGUUACCAGCACGUGAAGGUGGGGACUCUGGCGAGACUGCCCAGAUCAACUGGGAGGAAGGUGGGGACGACGUCAGGUCAGUAUGGCCCUUAUGCCCAGGGCUGCACACGUACUACAAUGCCCAGUACAGAGGGGGCCGAAGCCGCGAGGCGGAGGAAAUCCUGAAAACUGGGCCCAGUUCGGACUGUAGGCUGCAACCCGCCUACACGAAGCCGGAAUCGCUAGUAAUGGCGCAUCAGCUACGGCGCCGUGAAUACGUUCCCGGGUCUUGCACUCACCGCCCGUCA
rnacentral:rRNA from 1 species